AUGCUCGUGCUCCUAGGGGCAGAUUCAAUCAACGACAGUGAGGGGGACAUUCAACAAGUCCAUGCCAUCUCUCGACCAGCUCUCGACGGUGGCGUUUCGCCCAAAGCUUUCCAGCUAUUGGCCACCAUGCAUGAUAGAGAGGUGCUGAUCUUGGUGGACAGUGGUAGUUCGACAUCUUUCAUCAACAAGAAGCUGGCUGAUCAACUGACGGGUUCGGCUCCGUUGCCUCGACCCUCACGGGUUAAGGUGGCUGAUGGUGGCGAACUCCUCUGCACAGAGUCCAUACCGUUCUGUCAGUGGUCAUCGCAAGGGCUCGAUUCCGUCAUUGAUAUGAAAAUCCUACCGCUGGGAGUCUAUGAUGCUAUACUUGGGAUGGAUUGGUUAGAGCAACACAGCCCCAUGACAGUCGACUGGAAGAACAAGCACCUGCAAAUCCCUACACCUAAGGGUCCGGCUCACUUAUUUGGUCAUGAAUCAAAUUCAACCACUUGUCAUGUGAUCAAUAGUGCUCAACUAUAG
rnacentral:rRNA from 1 species